rnacentral:miRNA from 1 species
AGGAUUAGAGGGACUUGAACC